ACAGCCCUCCGACGCAACAACCCAGCGGUGGCUUUACUACAACAACCCAUCUGAUGGGUUACACAGAGCGUGGGCUUCUCCAUCAUCGUCAGGAGAGAGCAGAUCUUAACGCCGCAGAAUUGGUGCAUUACUUCAGUAAAUUAAAGGUUAUAAGGAGCUUGUCAAGAUAUCUUUGGUUUAUGUGAAACGCAGAGCAGCGGUUUGAGGUUGGCAGCUGCCCCGCCGAACAGUGGCCCGUCACAAGCUCAGAUUUAAGCAAAAACACCGCAGCACUUACGACAGGAAUAUAUGUGGAAAAUAGAGGAAAACUAAUUGAAGCGGAGAGGAGAGAGAACUUUGAAAACUGGCUGCAGCGAGUUUUGGCCGUAGUGCUUUUAGUUUGUUCGUUGGCAUGAGAAAAAUAAGCGAAAUAUGGUCAAAUUUAUUUUCAAACGUAAGUUAUUAAAUAUUUAACUUUUAAAAAGCAAUUUCGUUGAACUGUAUAAGCUGUAUAAUUGUUAAGUUGACAUUCUUUUCUGCACUUUUUUAUACACAUGUGCAUGUUGUUUUAACUCUUAACUAUAUUUUUGUGCAUUCCUGGGUGUUCUUGCUUAUUAAUAAAUGUUCAGCUUUUGAUUA